UAGAACGAGCCAACGAGUUACGGUAUGUAGCAAGGUUAAGUACUUAAGGUACGGAGCCGAAGGGAAACCGAGUCUGAAUAGGGCGACUAGUUGCAUGCCGUAGACCCGAAACCGGGUGACCUAUCCAUGGCCAGGUUGAAGCGAGGGUAAAACCUCGUGGAGGACCGAACCACGUUGCUGUUGAAAAAGCAUGGGAUGAGCUGUGGAUAGCGGAGAAAUUCCAAUCGAACCCGGAGAUAGCUGGUUCUCUCCGAAAUAGCUUUAGGGCUAGCGUCGAGUAUGAGUAGUGGAGGUAGAGCACUGAAUGGGCUAGGGGGCAUAGCGCUUACCGAACCUUAUCAAACUCCGAAUGCCACAUACUUUGAGCUCGGCAGUCAGACUACGAAUGAUAAGAUCCGUGGUCAAAAGGGAAACAGCCCAGAUCGUCAGCUAAGGUCCCAAAGUGUAAGUUAAGUGGGAAAGGAUGUGAGAUUUCUAAGACAACUAGGAUGUUGGCUUAGAAGCAGCCAUUCAUUAAAAGAGUGCGUAAUAGCUCACUAGUCGAGAGAUCUUGCGCCGAAAAUGUAACGGGGCUAAACUUACCA
rnacentral:rRNA from 1 species